UCAGGAUAGACUUGGAUGGAACGGAGCUGCUUUUACUGGGUAUUUCCCCGCGGGUACCCAAAUCUCCCAAGAAGACGCGGUCCACGCCAGCUUCACUCAUGUCUGAUCCGCGGAGAAGAGCGGCCACACUAUCCGUCGCUCUUCUGUCUGCAAACCAAAUAAUGUUGAUCUAUAUCAACUUUAAAUAAAUCAUAACCAUACAUUGCAGAUUUGUAUUAUCCGC
rnacentral:misc_RNA from 1 species